AUGGACAUCGCCGGAGACGCCGGGGGCGGCCGGAGGCCCAACUUCCCCUUGCAGCUCCUCGAGAAGAAGGAGGAGCAACCGUGCUCCAGCUCGGCUGCGGGGGGCACCUCGGCGGGCGGCGGGAAUGGAGCAGCCACUGGCGGUGCCGCCGGAGGGGAGAUGCAGGUGCGGAAGGUGGUGCCCAAGCGGACGUCGACCAAGGACCGGCACACCAAGGUGGAGGGCCGGGGACGGCGCAUCCGGAUGCCUGCGCUGUGCGCGGCGAGGGUGUUCCAGCUAACCCGGGAGCUGGGGCACAAGACGGACGGCGAGACCAUCGAGUGGCUGCUGCAGCAGGCGGAGCCGGCGGUGAUCGCGGCCACCGGCACCGGCACCAUCCCGGCCAACUUCACCUCCCUCAACAUCUCCCUCCGCUCAUCUGGCUCCUCGCUCUCCAUCCCGGCCCACCUCCGCGGGGCCUUGCCGAGCCCCGGCGUAAGGUUCGGCUCCCGUGCCGACGCGUGGGACCGGGUUGUCGGACUCGGGUACCCGCCCGAAGGCCCCGCCUCGUCUUCGUCGACGCCGUCGCCGCUGUUGCUCAACUUCCACUCGGGCAGCGUCGGUCUUGACGUGCAGCCCUCGCCGUCAGCCGCUGCCGCUGCCGCAGCCGCCGACCUUUCGAGGAAGCGGCGAUGGGAGCAAGAAAUGCAGCAGCAGCAACAACAACACCAGCAGCAGCAACAGCAACAACAGUACCAGCAGCAGAUGGCGGGGUACACGCAGAGCCAAAUGCCAGGCACCGUCUGGAUGGUGCCAAGCAACAACGCGCAGGGCAGCGGGGCGCCUUCCGGCGGCGGAAACGGCGGCGGUGGAGGAGGAAGUGGUGAGUCGAUCUGGACUUUCCCGCAGGUGGGCAGCGCCGGCGCCGCGGCUGCCGUGUAUCGUGGGAGCGUGCCAAGCGGGCUACAUUUCAUGAACUUCCCUGCACCGAUGGCGCUGCUACCCGGCCAGCAGCUGGGGCUCGGCCCAGUGGGAGCCAGCGGCGGUGGCGGAGGCGAGGGGCAGAUGGGGAUCCUCGCCGCGCUGAACGCGUACCGGACACAGGCGGCGGAAGCAGCGGCGGGGCAAGGAGGCGGCGGCGGAGGAGGAUCGUCUAGCCAGCAGCAACACGGAGGUGGUGGUGGCGGCGGCGAGCGGCAUGAGAGCAUGAGCACCAGCGAGUCGUAG
rnacentral:rRNA from 1 species